rnacentral:rRNA from 1 species
AGUGAACGCUGGCGGUAGGCCUAACACAUGCCAGUCGAACGGCAGCACAGUAAGAGCUUGCUCUUACGGGUGGCGAGUGGCGGACGGGUGAGGAAUACAUCGGAAUCUACUUUUUCGUGGGGGAUAACGGAGGGAAACUUACGCUAAUACCUCAUACGACCUACGGGUGAAAGCAGGGGAUCUUCGGACCUUUCGCGAUUGAAUAAGCCGAUGUCGGAUUAGCUAGUUGGCGGGGUAAAGGCCCACCCAGGCAACGAUCCGUAGCUGGUCUGAGAGGAUGAUCAGCCAAACUGGAACGGAGACACGCUCCAGACUCCUACGGGAGGAAGCAGUGGGGAAUAUUGGACAAUGGGCGCAAGCCUGAUCCAGCCCUACCGCGUGGGUGAAGAAGGCCUUCGGGUUGUAAAGCCCUUUUGUUGGGAAAGAAAAGCAGCAGGUUAAUACCCCGCUGUUCUGACGGUACCCAAAGAAUAAGCACCGGCUAACUUCGUG